rnacentral:rRNA from 1 species
CCUACGUGUGGCAGCAGUGGGGAAUAUUGCACAAUGGGGGAAACCCUGAUGCAGCGACGCCGCGUGAGCGAGGAAGUAUUUCGGUAUGUACAGCUCUGUCAGCAGGGAAGAAGAAUGACGGUACCUGAAGAAGAAGCACCGGCUAAAUACGUGCCAGCAGCCGCGGUAAUACGUAUGGUGCAGGGGUUAUCCGGAUUUACUGGGUGUAAAGGGAGCGCAGGCGGUUCUGCAAGUCUGAUGUGAAAGCCCGGGGCUCAACCGCGGGACUGCAUUGGAAACUGCGGGACUGGAGGGUCGGAGGGGUAAGCGGAAUUCCUGGUGUAGCGGUGAAAUGCGUAGAUAUCAGGAGGAACACCGGUGGCGAAGGCGGCCUGCUGGACUGCAACUGACGUUGAGGCCCGAAAGCGUGGGGAGCAAACAGGAUUAGAUACCCCUGUAGUC